UGCCCCCCUGGUAGCUACGGUAACCGCUCUGGGUUGACAGAUGUAUUGGAUUGCACUCUGUGUGACCAGGGGAUGUUUUGCAGAGGCUCAGGGAACGAGUCCCCCACCGGCCCGUGUGACUCCGGCUUCCUGUGCCUCGGUGGAGCAUCCGCUCCUGCCCCCACCGAUGGGGUCACCGGCGCUCCCUGCCCCCGGGGGUUCUACUGCCCAGCGGGGAGUUACUCCGCAGUGCCCUGUCCAAAAGGCACCUUCAGUGAGAGGAGCGGGCUCGGCGAGCAGUCUGAGUGCCAGCGAUGUUCUCCAGGGUUCUACUGCGCGGAACCGGGGCUGACUGCCGUGAGCGGACCCUGCCUGUCAGGCUUCUUCUGCCUUGAGGGCUCUCCAGACGUGACCCCGGUGGCAGAGGGGUACGGGGACCUGUGCCCGCCAGGCCACUACUGUGAGAACGGCACCGCAGCGCCCGCCGCCUGCCCAGCGGGCACACACCGACCCCAGACGGGCGGGCGUGGGAGGCAGGACUGUGUGACCUGCCCUGCAGGCUGGUUCCAGGACCACACAGGGCAGACGGAAUGUAAACCCUGCCCUGCAAGGUUCUACUGCCCCUCCCCCCAUCAGGAGGCUGGUGGGGUAGUUACCCCUGUGACCUGCCCGCAGGGGUAUUUCUGCCCUGGCGAUGCCCCUCUGGACAGCCCUGUGCCCUGCCCCAGGGGCACUUAUAGCAGUACUGAGGGCCUGAGCACUGCAGACGAGUGCUGGGUUUGCCCCGCGGGGCAUUUCUGCGGAUCGGACGGCCUCACCCAGCCCACGGGGCCUUGCGCGGCAGGCUUCCUCUGCCACAUCAGGGCGGUGGUGCCCAACCCUGUGGACGACAGCACCGGCUCCCUCUGCCCCCCUGGGGCAUUCUGCCAGGCGGGGAUCAUAGCAGGAGAAUGUUCUCCAGGAUACUACUGCAGUGGGGGUUCCACCAGCCCUGAGGGGGUUCUGUGCCCUGCAGGGUUCUACUGCCCCAAGGGUUCCCACACACCCUUCCCCUGUGAGGCCGGAACGUUCUCCUCUGCAGCGGGAAACAGUCACCGUGGCAACUGCACAUCAUGUCUGGCAGGAUUCUUCUGUCAGGGUGAGGGGGUAGUGCAGCCCGAGAUUUGCCCCUCGGGUCACUUCUGCCCCCCUGGCACGUCCUUGGCCCAGCAGUUCCCCUGCCCUCCAGGAACCCUACUUCCCCUGCCAGGGGCAACAAGCCCAGAGGAUUGCCUGCUUUGCCCCGCAGGCUUGUUCUGUGCUCUGCCGGGUCUAUCUGAGCCCACUGGCCCGUGUCAAGAGGGGUUCCACUGUUCCCCCGGAUCCAGCAGCCCAAACGGAACCGGAAUCACCAUGGUUGUCUGUGCGUCUCCUUCCCUGGGGCACAGAAAACAACCCCACUCACACCCACUACUGAUUUCCCCUCACAGCAGAUGGAGUCCGAUGAAGGCUCAAUCUGCCCCACUGGAUUCUACUGCCCUGUUGGCACAUCCUACCCCGUCCCCUGCCCACCUGGUACCUUUUCCAGCACCCCGGGGCUGA
rnacentral:lncRNA from 1 species